rnacentral:rRNA from 1 species
UACAGAGGUCUCGAGCGUUGUUCGGAUUCAUUGGGCGUAAAGGGUGCGUAGGUGGCGCCGUAAGUCGGGUGUGAAAUCCUGAGGCUUAACCUCGGAACUGCAUUCGAUACUGCGGUGCUUGAGGACUGGAGAGGAGACUGGAAUUCAUGGUGUAGCAGUGAAAUGCGUAGAGAUCAUGAGGAAGACCAGUGGCGAAGGCGGGUCUCUGGACAGUUCCUGACACUGAGGCACGAAGGCCAGGGGAGCAAACGGG